GACCUCGGUGGCACAGUGGUAAAGUGUUUGGCUAUGAACCGAGAGGUCCCGGGUUCGAUCCCCGGUCGGGUCA